GAUGAACGCUGGCGGCGUGCCUAAUACAUGCAAGUCGAGCGAACGGACGAGAAGCUUGCUUCUCUGAUGUUAGCGGCGGACGGGUGAGUAACACGUGGAUAACCUACCUAUAAGACUGGGAUAACUUCGGGAAACCGGAGCUAAUACCGGAUAAUAUUUUGAACCGCAUGGUUCAAAAGUGAAAGACGGUCUUGCUGUCACUUAUAGAUGGAUCCGCGCUGCAUUAGCUAGUUGGUAAGGUAACGGCUUACCAAGGCAACGAUGCAUAGCCGACCUGAGAGGGUGAUCGGCCACACUGGAACUGAGACACGGUCCAGACUCCUACGGGAGGCAGCAGUAGGGAAUCUUCCGCAAUGGGCGAAAGCCUGACGGAGCAACGCCGCGUAAGUGAUGAAGGUCUUCGGAUCGUAAAACUCUGUUAUUAGGGAAGAACAUAUGUGUAAGUAACUGUGCACAUCUUGACGGUACCUAAUCAGAAAGCCACGGCUAACUACGUA
rnacentral:rRNA from 1 species